CCAUAAAAAAACUGCUCCCAUGUAAAAAAUCUGCUGCCAUAAAAAAUAAAAAUCUGCUAUAAAAAUAUAAAAUCUGAUAUAUUAAAAAAAAAAAAAAACUGUAACAACAAAAUAAACCUUAUAUCAGAAGCUCAUUAAAGUUUUUACAAUAUGCAGUUAUGCACAUAUUGAUACCAGUUCACAAAAAAUACACA